rnacentral:rRNA from 1 species
UACGUAGGGGGCAAGCGUUGUCCGGAUUUACUGGGCGUAAAGAGCGUGUAGGCGGCCAAGCAGGUCCGUUGUGAAAACUGGAGGCUUAACCUCCAGACGUCGACGGAAACCGCGCGGCUAGAGUCCGUAAGAGGAGAGUGGAAUUCCUGGUGUAGCGGUGAAAUGCGCAGAUAUCAGGAGGAACACCUAUUGCGAAGGCAGCUCGCUGGGACGUAACUGACGCUGAGACGCGAAAGCGUGGGGAGCAAACAGG